rnacentral:tRNA from 1 species
AUUUAAAUAGUUUAUUUAAAAUAUUGAUUUGUGGUAUCAAUGAUAUGAUUUAUGUCAUUUUAAAUU